UGGUAUCUCGAACUGUGUCUGUCUUCUGCCACUCUGCAAUGAUGUGAAACGGUGAUUGCGCUCGGAACAUUUCCCGCCAUCUGGCCAACUGGGCCAAGUGUAGGUGUGCAUGAGAUGACGUAUUAUUAGUGCGGCUACAAAUUUACUGGUUAUCAAUAAAUAAUGGGAAUACAUAUCUGCGAAUUUGUUGUGGUGCUAGAUCUCAAAAAUACAAGUGGAACAAGUCAUUUAUCUAAUUCUAGCUGGAUUAUACUUUUUGGAAUAACAAGCAAUCGUUAGGAUUAUUAGUAGUUUAGAAUCUGAAUGCCGACAGUUUGAAACAGUGUCCUUGAAAAAUCACCCGCUGUUCAUCCAAAAUAAAAAUUGCAGUUGUUCGAAAGAAGAAUCCGAAAAUAAGACUUCGAGAUUGAACACUUGGACAUUUUGUCGUAGGAAAGUUCACCAUCAAGCAAAGAACAAGUAUUGUUCAAGUUUCCUUUGAAAAUCAUCCUUCUUCUAUCUGAAGACAUCGAAUAGGCUGCAAAUUCUUUAAUGUUUGGAAAGCACUUGAUGUUGUAAAAAUUUCCUAAUAAGUUCAACAGUUUCAGCGACCAACAAUGGAUCAUGGAAAUUUUUGGUAAAAAUAUCAUCUCUGGAUUUUUGAAUUUUAACUAGCCAUCGCAGUCGCCAGACUGAACGGUAACAUACCUUUUUUUACACUCGAGUAACUUUAAAGAAAAGGUAUAUGCAAAUAACUACCAACUAGAUAAGUGCUUAAAGGUAAUAUUCGACGCGCAAUUCAAGAAUUAGGUCUCGAAAUUCUGAUAAGAGCUAUGCAGACUGUUCUGGAUACAGUGUGUCUUUAAGUUAACAAUAAACGCUACUUCCCAGGUGUUAUUUUUAGAAUAUUAUGCAGACAUAUAAAUUGUAUUUAGUAUUAAGAACGAAACAAAAACAGAUAUUGUCGAAAGAAAAAAAAAUAUUAUCCUUUAUUUAAAUUGUAACGAUAAUUACCAUAUAAUUGCAAUCCGUUACGUAGGUAAAACUAGAAAGAAAACGAAGGUAUGGCUCAGGUUCUUACAGCGCCUAACAAAGGAUAUUUUGCUACAUUGUGCUAUAAUGUUUCCGAAACUCAGUGACUGCUGAGCUCUUUAGUAUUGAUACAACAAAUAUUAAUUCAUAUGACUUCGAAGAUCCUUAUACUAUUUUGCAUUUAAUAGAAAAUGAUAGUACUGUACCAGAUUUGUUUUCGCAGAUUCUUACAAUUAAUUGGAAAAGAAGAUUGGCAUCUUACUUAAAAAGUGUUUUGUUCCAUAAUUGCAUCAAAUUUAAUAACACAUUUUUUAAACAAAUCAACUUUAUACCAAUGGGUUCGAGCAUAACUUCUGUUAUUUGUAAUCUGUACCCUUUUCACAAAAGAAUUUCAGUUGCAACAACAACGUACUUAUUUUUUCAACAUAUAUGUCGAUGAUGCAAUUGCAUUCAACAACUUAAGAUCGAAGAAGCUAAUAUUUAUCCUACAUGCCUCAAACUUAACAAAAUUAAACUUCAACAGAAUGAUUUUAACCAAUUAGAUUUAAAGAUUUUGAGCUACAAGGAUUCUGUAAAAAUGCAACAAAUCUGAACUGCUAUUUAAAUAUAUUUGCCACAUUAUCUUGAGAAAAUAAACCCUAAGACUCCAGAGACUUGAAUGCAUAUUUCCUUUAUUAAACUUCGAUUGCAUCUCUUUAAUAAAUAUAUGGAAUUUUUUAGAAGUCUGUAUCUUUAAGAGUAUCGUUAAAUUUAGAUUUAAGACUUUUCUGUAACUCAAAACUUUUAAUAUUAAAUAAAACCUUUUCCUCUUAAUAAAUAAAAUAAUAACUAAAAUCUUUAUUCUUUAUAUAGAUUUCAGAUAUCUGAGAACUUUUAAAGAGUCAAUUACUUCUUUAACUAAACACUUUUAAUAUUAAAUGAAAGUUUAUUAUUUUCUUCGCAUUAUUAUUUUUAACGAAAAUGUUUCGAAAGUUUACAGAUUCAAGAGAUUUGAGAAGCUUUCAGGUUUAGAUUCAGAAUUUUCUUUAAUUAAAAAUUUUUAAUAGUGAAUAAAAGUUUCUUUUUAUGAUCACUGUUAUUCUUACAUGAAGAAUUUGAGAGAUUUGAGAUUCGACAGAUUAAAAUACCAUUUCGGAAACAGAUUCAGAUUCCGGAUAAUUUAAAAUUGAUCCUAGUUCACUGUUACAGUUUCACAAGCUACUUAAUAUUUUAAUUUAGGUAAAAGGGAAAAAAAUAUUUAAUUUUCUAAAGCUUAUUAAAUUUGAAACUUUUCUAAGCACUAAAUUCAUAUUAAUUAACUUACGAAAGUUUAGCUCCUUUAAGACUUACCUUCUUCAUAACGGAUGUAUUUUGACGGAUUGAGCUGCUUUUGGACAUAGCUAGUUCUUUCAUAACACUGUCAAGCACUGACAUUAAGAACUGGGAAAGCUUUGUAUAAUAUCUGCUUUGUUCUAUGCAAAUUUUCUAUUACGUAUUGAAAACACUGCUUCUUUUGUUUCCUACCAUCUGUGUUACGAGAUUAUGAGACAGAUUAUUUAGUAAACCUUGUGAAGAAUAAAUAGAUGCCUGUUAUUAA